ensembl:miRNA
UCUUUGGUUAUCUAGCUGAAUGAGUUUAUGUGAUAUCAUAAAGCUAGAGAACCGAAUGUA